rnacentral:rRNA from 1 species
UCGAGCGGACAGAUGGGAGCUUGCUCCCUGAUGUUAGCGGCGGACGGGUGAGUAACACGUGGGUAACCUGCCUGUAAGACUGGGAUAACUCCGGGAAACCGGGGCUAAUACCGGAUGGUUGUUUGAACCGCAUGGUUCAAACAUAAAAGGUGGCUUCGGCUACCACUUACAGAUGGACCCGCGGCGCAUUAGCUAGUUGGUGAGGUAAYGGCUCACCAAGGCRACGAUGCGUAGCCGACCUGAGAGGGUGAUCGGCCACACUGGGACUGAGACACGGCCCAGACUCCUACGGGAGGCAGCAGUAGGGAAUCUUCCGCAAUGGACGAAAGUCUGACGGAGCAACGCCGCGUGAGUGAUGAAGGUUUUCGGAUCGUAAAGCUCUGUUGUUAGGGAAGAACAAGUACCGUUCGAAUAGGGCGGUACCUUGACGGUACCUAACCAGAAAGCCAC